ACAAUGCCCCACGUGGGCCCAAUCAAGGCAGUGGCAAAGCUGGUUUCCAAAUAAAGAGGAAACAAACCCAGCCUUGUGAUCAGGUACAUGCCAUUGGCACAUCCCACGUAACUCCCUGUGAUGGAUGGGGCCACUUGCUGCCAGCCCACGACAGCACCCUGGGUCUAGGAGCUGCUGCUAGCUCCCUGUCCCUUCUGGAGACAACUUGCUUUUGCAGUGGGAAAGGCUAAGUGUUGAACACAGCAGUCUACACAUCUAUAUUCUUGUGAUUGCCCUUAAGCUUACAGGCUUUUUAGAAGGGUGAAGAGCUUCAGAGAAGCUGGCGGUGCUCCUGUCAUCAGCUAGCAGUCAUCAAUGGAAUGCUUUAACCACAACAUAAUGGAGCAUCUUGGACCAUAAACAAGCUGUCUGGAUACCUACAAGUUAUUCUCAAAAACUCUUUUCUUUGCAUCUGUGAACAACCUACUGUUACAUCAAUCUUCAGAGCACCGAAAUCAUGACAUUUUCACCAAAACACCCACCAGAGUCUGCCCUGAGAAAUGCAAGGCCUUGCCCCACAAGGAAGGCCUGUUUCUUUUUCCCCGUACAACACACGCUGGCCACAAGAACUACCAAGCUUAUGGCUUUAGCACA